rnacentral:rRNA from 1 species
UGAAAGUGAAAGCCGUGGCACCCUAGGGUGCCCGGUAAAAGCGGGAUCCGCAAAAUUUAUAUCAAGGGCGAGUCAGGUUGCUAGAAAGCCCUGCGGCGCACCGCUGGCCCGUCUCGACCGCAACGUCGGUGAGGCGGAGCUUGAGCGUACACGUUGGGACCCGAAAGAUGGUGAACUAUGCUUGGGCAGGACGAAGCCAGAGGAAACUCUGGUGGAGGUCCGUAGCGAUUCUGACGUGCAAAUCGAUCGUCAGACCUGAGUAUAGGGGCGAAAGACUAAUCGAACCAUCUAGUAGCUGGUUCCCUCCGAAGUUUCCCUCAGGAUAGCUGGCACUCGGUGAGGAACGCAGUCUCAUCCGGUAAAGCGAAUGAUUAGAGGCCUUGGGGCCGAAACGACCUCAACCUAUUCUCAAACUUUCAAUGGGUGAGAAGUCCGGCAUGCUUGACUGAAGCCCGGACGGCACCAUGGCAAAAGCAGGUGCGAAUGGAAUAGGAACGGCAAGCGGACGAGGGUUGUCUUCGGGCAGCUCCGUUCCGACUUUGCCGCAAGAGGAUGCGAGUGCCCAGUGGGCCAAUUUUGGUAAGCAGAACUGGCGCUGUGGGAUGAACCAAACGCUGGGUUACGGCGCCCGAUGCGGACGCUUAUCAGACCCCAUGAAAGGUGUUGGUUGCUAUAGACAGCAGGACGGUGGCCAUGGAAGUCGGAAUCCGCUAAGGAGUGUGUAACAACUCACCUGCCGAAGCAACUAGCCCUGAAAAUGGAUGGCGCUCCAGCGUCGAGCCCAUACCCAGCCGCUGGUGGCAAAGAGAACGGGAAAGGACCGAGAGUCCUCCGGAUGGAAGGCCCCAGCGAGUAGGAGGGUCGCAGCGGUAAGCGUUGAAGGUGUCGGGCGUGGGCCCGCCUGGAGCUUCCGCUGGUGCAGAUCUUGGUGGUAGUAGCAAAUACUCGAGUGAGAACCUUGAGGACUGAAGUGGAGAAGGGUUCCAUGUGAACAGCAGUUGAACAUGGGUCAGUCGGCCCUAAGGAAUAGGGGAAACCCGUUCCGAAUCGGGAGGUGGAGACAAUAAUAAAGAAUGAAAACCCCCGAAAGAUCGAAAGGGAAUCGGGUUAAUAUUCCCGAACCCGGAUGCAGAGAUCGGCCCUCAGGGGCCCAAUGCGGUAACGCAAACGAACUCGGAGACGUCGGCGGGAGUCCCGGGAAGAGUUGUCUUUUCUUUGUAAGGGACGGACUCCCUGGAAUCGGCUUGCCCGGAGAGAGGGAUGUUGUUCCCGUAAAGCACCGCGGCUCUUGCGGUGUCCGGAGCACUCUCGCCGACCCUUGAAAAUCCGAGGGAGUGGAAAUGAUUUUGCACCGGACCGUACCCAUAUCCGCAGCAG